rnacentral:rRNA from 1 species
UGGGGGAUAUUGCGCAAUGGGGGAAACCCUGACGCAGCAACGCCGCGUGAAGGAAGAAGGCCUUCGGGUUGUAAACUUCUUUAAGUGUGGAAGAUAAUAACGGUACACACAGAAUAAGCCACGGCUAACUACGUGCCAGCAGCCGCGGUAAUACGUAGGUGGCGAGCGUUGUCCGGAUUUAUUGGGUUUAAAGGGUGCGUAGGCGGUUAGAUAAGUUAGAGGUGAAAUAUUAGGGCUUAACCCUGAAACUGCCUCUAAUACUGUUUAACUAGAGAUUAGUUGCGGUAGGCGGAAUGUAUGGUGUAGCGGUGAAAUGCUUAGAUAUCACGAAGAACUCCAAUUGCGAAGGCAGCUUGCUGGACUGUAACUGACGCUGAUGCACGAGAGCAUGGGUAGCAAACA